rnacentral:rRNA from 1 species
UACGAAGGGGGCUAGCGUUGCUCGGAAUCACUGGGCGUAAAGCGCACGUAGGCGGACUCUUAAGUCGGUGGUGAAAUCCUGGAGCUCAACUCCAGAACUGCCUUCGAUACUGAGAGUCUCGAGUCCGGGAGAGGUGAGUGGAACUGCGAGUGUAGAGGUGAAAUUCGUAGAUAUUCGCAAGAACACCAGUGGCGAAGGCGGCUCACUGGCCCGGUACUGACGCUGAGGUGCGAAAGCGUGGGGAGCAAACA